AGACGCGUUUCUUCCGGGAGGCAGCAGUAGGGAAUCUUCCGCAAUGGACGAAAGUCUGACGGGAGCAACGCCGCGUGAGUGAUGAAGGCUUUCGGGUCGUAAAACUCUGUUGUUAGGGAAGAACAAAGUACGAGAAGUAACUGCUCGUACCUUGACGGUACCUAACCAGAAAACCACGGCUAACUACGUGCCAGCAGCCGCGGUAAUACGUAGGUGGCAAGCGUUAUCCGGAAUUAUUGGGCGUAAAGCGCGCGCAGGCGGUUUCUUAAGUCUGAUGUGAAAGCCCACGGCUCAACCGUGGAGGGUCAUUGGAAACUGGGGAACUUGAGUGCAGAAGAGAAAAGCGGAAUUCCACGUGUAGCGGUGAAAUGCGUAGAGAUGUGGAGGAACACCAGUGGCGAAGGCGGCUUUUUGGUCUGUAACUGACGCUGAGGCGCGAAAGCGUGGGGAGCAAACAGGAUUAGAUACCCUGGUAGUCCACGCCGUAAACGAUGAGUGCUAAGUGUUAGAGGGUUUCCGCCCUUUAGUGCUGCAGCUAACGCAUUAAGCAUCGCCUGGGAGACGCUCGCCUUACU
rnacentral:rRNA from 2 species